rnacentral:lncRNA from 1 species
UGAAAAAAAAAAAAAAAAAAACAUUAAAGUCGUCAACAAUGCGACGUCACCUGCCUGGCUGACUUGUGGGUUGGGGGCAUUUGUCUUGCUUCCGUAAUUUUGUUUACCAUUUCUGCCUCAUUCCCUUGACUGUGACCCUUCGUUCGUGGCGCAGAUUAAGAAGAUGGAAGCAUGGACCAGUCAGCACCGUCAGCUCUCAUGUGGAAGACAGACGCAGCAGCCCCGAGGGGUUCCCGCGGUCCCGGUCUGGCCUGUUGCAAGACAUAGCCACCUCAGGAUAGGAUCAUCCAGCAGAAUGUAACCAGCUGACUUACCAAUAUGCUGCUGCCACCACCUCAAAGGCCAUACAACAACAAUAAAAAAAUAUCUUCGUUUAUUAGAUCAAGAUAUGUGUCUCCUCUCACCCACCUGAAAGUGAUGACUGACAUGGCAGCAGGACCCACGUAUGCACACACUACAUUUGUGCGUUUGUCUCCUACAGCCAGCACACACCCUGUCUGCUGGUGCUAAUGGUCAGGGUUCCUCCUGCCUGAUACCAAGACUGUUGGAGUCUGCCUCUGGGAGAGGCAGUGAAGGUAAAACACAAGAGACAAGCAUGGAUGGAGGUCACCGAGAAGCUGAAUAGCGUGUUCCCUUGUGUUCGACGAUCAAGAGAGCAAGUGGAAAAGAAGUGGCAAAAUCUCCUAUCAAAGGGGAAGCGUGCACUUUCAGCAAGAAAGCAGUAGCACCAUAGAACUGGUGGUGGUCCUUCACAGAAGACUACUGCUGGAGAUGACACCUUGACAGACCUGAUUGCCGACAUUGUGGGACCCGACAAUGUCUGUAUUACAGGGGUUACACUGGAUGGUCCUGCUGAUGCAAGUUUGAUUGGACUAGCUGACACUAACAGAUUGGAUUAUGAGGUGACAAUGGAGUUGACAGAAGAUGAUCCAGUCAUGAACUCCGCUCCUCAAGCUCUGCCACAACCUCCUCAAUGUAAUGUAGGUUCAGCUAGUGUAGCUCUUCCUAUUGAAUUGUCCACAUUGGCAAGCAGAGGGCCUCCUUCUCAACCACCCAUGAACCCUGUAUUUGAAGCAGGACUUCACAGUGAGCAGCAUGCAGAGGCAGUGAGGAAAGUGCUGCAUCAAAUGGAAGAAGCUUACAGGGCUCAAACAAUUGCUUAGCAGAACAUUGCCAAAUACUUUUCUAAAGAUUAAGCAAGUGUGGUUGAGAAAAUAAAAAGCUGCAAUAGUA